rnacentral:tRNA from 1 species
AUUUAAAUAGUUUAAUUUAAAACAUUGAUUUGUGGAAUCAAAAAUAUAAAUAUGAUUUUAUUUUAAAUA